rnacentral:rRNA from 1 species
AGGGAAUCUUCGGCAAUGGACGCAAGUCUGACCGAGCAACGCCGCGUGAGUGAUGAAGGCCUUCGGGUUGUAAAGCUCUGUCUUCAGGGACGAUAAUGACGGUACCUGAGGAGGAAGCCACGGCUAACUACGUGCCAGCAGCCGCGGUAAUACGUAGGUGGCAAGCGUUGUCCGGAUUUACUGGGCGUAAAGGGAGCGUAGGCGGAUACUUAAGUGGGAUGUGAAAUACCUGGGCUUAACUUGGGUGCUGCAUUCCAAACUGGGUGUCUAGAGUGUUGGAGAGGAAAGUGGAAUUCCUAGUGUAGCGGUGAAAUGCGUAGAGAUUAGGAAGAACACCAGUGGCGAAGGCGACUUUCUGGACAAUAACUGACGCUGAGGCUCGAAAGCGUGGGGAGCAAAC